UCGGCUUAGAGUUUGAUCCUGGCUCAGGAUGAACGCUGGCGGCGUGCCUAAUACAUGCAAGUCGAACGAAACUUCUUUAUCACCGAGUGCUUGCACUCACCGAUAAAGAGUUGAGUGGCGAACGGGUGAGUAACACGUGGGCAACCUGCCCAAAAGAGGGGGAUAACACUUGGAAACAGGUGCUAAUACCGCAUAACCAUAGUUACCGCAUGGUAACUAUGUAAAAGGUGGCUAUGCUACCGCUUUUGGAUGGGCCCGCGGCGCAUUAGCUAGUUGGUGAGGUAAAGGCUUACCAAGGCGAUGAUGCGUAGCCGAACUGAGAGGUUGAUCGGCCACAUUGGGACUGAGACACGGCCCAAACUCCUACGGGAGGCAGCAGUAGGGAAUCUUCCACAAUGGGCGAAAGCCUGAUGGAGCAACGCCGCGUGGGUGAAGAAGGUCUUCGGAUCGUAAAACCCUGUUGUUAGAGAAGAAAGUGCGUGAGAGUAACUGUUCACGUUUCGACGGUAUCUAACCAGAAAGCCACGGCUAACUACGUGCCAGCAGCCGCGGCAAUACGUAGGUGGCAAGCGUUAUCCGGAUUUAUUGGGCGUAAAGGGAACGCAGGCGGUCUUUUAAGUCUGAUGUGAAAGCCUUCGGCUUAACCGGAGUAGUGCAUUGGAAACUGGGAGACCUGAGUGCAGAAGAGGAGAGUGGAACUCCAUGUGUAGCGGUGAAAUGCGUAGAUAUAUGGAAGAACACCAGUGGCGAAAGUGGCUCUCUGGUCUGUAACUGACGCUGAGGUUCGAAAGCGUGGGGAGCAAACAGGA
rnacentral:rRNA from 1 species